rnacentral:rRNA from 1 species
GACGAACGCUGGCGGCGUGCUUAACACAUGCAAGUCGAACGGAAAGGCCCUGCUUUUGUGGGGUGCUCGAGUGGCGAACGGGGGAGUGACACGUGAGUAACCUGCCCUUGACUGUGGGAUAACUUCAGGGAACUGGGGCUAAUACCGGGGAGGAGCUCCUGCUGCAUGGGGGGGGUUGGAAAGUGUCGGCGGUGGGGGAUGGACUCGCGGCUUAUGAGCUGGUUGGUGGGGUAGUGGCUUACCAAGGCUUUGACGGGUAGCCGGCCUGAGAGGGUGACCGGCCACAUUGGGACUGAGAUACGGCCCAGACGCCUACGGGAGGCAGCAGUGGGGAAUCUUGCACAAUGGGCGGAAGCCUGAUGCAGCAACGCCGCGUGCGGGAUGACGGCCUUCGGGUUGUAAACCGCUUUCGCCUGUGACGAAGCGUGAUUGGCGGUAAUGGGUAAAGAAGCACCGGCUAACUACGUG